UGCUCAUUCAACUGGUUAUGAUGGUAUGGUGAAGGUCUAUCAUGCUCAUAACAUCUGGAAUGACGCCAAAAGAUAAGGUGCCUAUCGUCCAGCUUUAUUGAUAACUGCCUUUGGGCUUUAUCACACAUCGGACGACACGUUGAGUGAGGCACCGCCUAUUCAGAGACCCGGUCAGACAGUUACUGUGUGACCGGGUUUCGUUUUUUU
rnacentral:sRNA from 1 species